rnacentral:misc_RNA from 1 species
GAGUGGUGUUUGGUUUGAUACGGGUGGUUGGCUCCCUGCUUGAGCAGGCACGACCACACGUACAUUCCUUUUCAGUUGUGCGGCAAGGCUUGUAUCGUCUUGAUCGUAUAUGUGGGUUUCUUGUGUUGCAUACCUCAUCAAUGGCAUCGUUUUGAUCAAAAACAUACCUUUUUCGUCAGGCGUUGCACCCGCAAGGUCGGAUGAACCAUGCAGCAUCCUCUUUGAUCCAUAUAGUCGAUGAGCGUUCAUUGAUUGUUUGGCCCGUUGAGGGUGCCUUGGUCUCUCGGAUAUGGAAGCGAAAGUGGGCAUGGGUUCGUAUGAUCCUUUUAUUGCCCUCGUUGAGCGUUCUCGCUUCUCUUACACGACCGCCUUCACGUGUGGCAUGUCCCAUCGUGUUUGGCUACGUCGAAGAGGAAUGCUACCUGGUUGAUCCUGCCAGUAGUCAUAU